rnacentral:rRNA from 1 species
CAAUAGCGUAUAUUUAAGUUGUUGCAGUUAAAAGCUCGUAGUUGGAUUUCGGUUGAGAGCGGCCGGUCCGCCGUUUGGUGUGCACUGGCUGGUUUCAACUUCCUGUAGAGGACGCGCUUUGGGCUUAACGGUCUGAACGUGGAGUCUACGUGGUUACUUUGAAAAAAUUAGAGUGUUCAAAGCGGGCGUUUGCUUGAAUACAUUAGCAUGGAAUAAUGGAAUAGGACCCUGGUUCUAUUUUGUUGGUUUUGAGGACCAGAGUAAUGAUUAAUAGGGAUAGUUGGGGGCAUUCAUAUUUAAUUGUCAGAGGUGAAAUUCUUGGAUUUAUGAAAGAUGAACUUCUGCGAAAGCAUUUGCCAAGGAUGUUUUCAUUAA